UACGGAGGGUGCAAGCGUUAUCCGGAUUCACUGGGUUUAAAGGGUGCGUAGGAGGGCAGGGAAGUCAGUGGUGAAAUCUUGGGGCUUAACCCCGAAACUGCCGUUGAUACUCUCUGUCUUGAAUCCCGUGGAGGUGAGCGGAAUAUGUCAUGUAGCGGUGAAAUGCUUAGAUAUGACAUAGAACACCAAUUGCGAAGGCAGCUCGCUACACGAAGACUGACUCUGAGGCACGAAAGCGUGGGGAUCAAACAGG
rnacentral:rRNA from 1 species